rnacentral:rRNA from 1 species
UACGAAGGGUGCAAGCGUUACUCGGAAUUACUGGGCGUAAAGCGUGCGUAGGUGGUUCGUUAAGUCUGUCGUGAAAGCCCCGGGCUCAACCUGGGAAUGGCGAUGGAUACUGGCGAGCUAGAGUGCGGUAGAGGAGAGUGGAAUUCCCGGUGUAGCAGUGAAAUGCGUAGAGAUCGGGAGGAACAUCAGUUGCGAAGGCGGCUCUCUGGACCAGCACUGACACUGAGGCACGAAAGCGUGGGGAUCAAACAGG